AAACAGCUCUGUUUUAUCAGAAUGUGAAUAUACUUCCAUUAUCGAAUAUUUGAAAGAUAAAAAUGAUGGAAAAACUGGAUAUAUUACUUCACGGAAUAUUCAACGAAGAAUCAAGUCAAACAAGUUUAAACUAAUUGAUUACCCACCCUUAGGUUUAAAAGAUAUUUUAUGUGCUCCAACUAAAUGUAAUACAGAGAAUAAUUUGCGAGAAUCAUCGCCAUUUGGAAACUACAGUCGUGUAGUGAGUACUAAAGAUGUUUUUUCUGCUAUUAAUAUUGCACAUUGCCAGAAUGGUCUGCAUCUUGGGGCUUUAAAAACUUAUAAGAAGAUUAUUGAGGGUUAUGCAAACAUUGCAAGAAAAACUGUUGAAAUUUUUAUCAGUUUCUGCCCAACUUGCAAUUUAAAUGAAAGGCAGUU